rnacentral:rRNA from 1 species
UUGGAGGGCAAGUCUGGUGCCAGCAGCCGCGGUAAUUCCAGCUCCAAUAGCGUAUAUUAAAGUUGUUGCAGUUAAAAAGCUCGUAGUUGAAUUUCGGGAUCAAUAUGCUGGUCGUGCCUUUGGUACGUACUGGUAUUAUUGGUUUCUCCUUUCUGAUGAAUCACGAUGUCAUUAAUUUGGUGUCAUGGGGAAUCAGGACUGUUACUUUGAAAAAAUUAGAGUGUUUAAAGCAGGCUUACGCUUGAAUACAUUAGCAUGGAAUAAUGAAAUAGGACGUUUAAUUCUAUUUUGUUGGUUUCUAGGAUUGACGUAAUGAUUAAUAGGGAUAGUUGGGGGCAUUAGUAUUCAAUUGUCAGAGGUGAAAUUCUUGGAUUUAUUGAAGACUAACUACUGCGAAAGCAUUUGCCAAGGAUGUUUUCAUUAAUCAAGAACGAAAGUUAGGGGAUCGAAGACGAUCAGAUACCGUCGUAGUCUUAACCAUAAACUAUGCCGACUAGGGAUCGGGUGAUGUUAAUUUAUGACUCAUUCGGCGCCUUACGGGAAAC